rnacentral:rRNA from 1 species
UACGAAGGGUGCAAGCGUUACUCGGAAUUACUGGGCGUAAAGCGUGCGCAGGCGGUUUCGCAAGUCAGAUGUGAAAGCCCCGGGCUCAACCUGGGAAUUGCAUUUGAAACUACGAGGCUAGAGUGUGUCAGAGGGGGGUAGAAUUCCACGUGUAGCAGUGAAAUGCGUAGAGAUGUGGAGGAAUACCGAUGGCGAAGGCAGCCCCCUGGGAUAACACUGACGCUCAUGCACGAAAGCGUGGGGAGCAAACAGG